UGCAGGCUGCAACCCGCCUGCAUGAAGUUGGAAUCGCUAGUAAUCGCGGAUCAGCAUGCCGCGGUGAAUACGUUCCCGGGCCUUGUACACACCGCCCGUCACACCAUGAGAGUCGGGAACACCCGAAGUCCGUAGCCUAACCGCAAGGGGGGCGCGGCCGAAGGUGGGUUCGAUAAUUGGGGUGAAGUCGUAACAAGGUACC
rnacentral:rRNA from 1 species